GGGCGGCUAGCUCAGUCGGUUAGAGCGUCGCAUUCACAUUGCGAAGGUCACAAGUUCGAGUCUUGUGCCGCCCA
rnacentral:tRNA from 1 species